rnacentral:pre_miRNA from 1 species
AAUAAGUUUAUUUAUAAGUUUAUUUAUUUAACGUUUGACCGUCCGUUCUAUUUAAAAUUAUUUACGAUUAGUAUUUUUAUUAUUAUUAUAUGAUAUAAAACAUGAAUAUAACUUUAUACGUAACUUUUUUUAUUUUUUUUAAAUAAGACGAAUGGUCAAAUGUUAAACACUGAAACCCAUACGUAAACUUAUU